CAGCACCUCAAGUGGUCAGGAUGAUUAUUGGGCCUAAAGCAUCCGUAGCCGGCGCUGUAAGUUUUCGGUUAAAUCUGUACGCUCAACGUACAGGCUGCCGGGAAUACUGCAGCGCUAGGGAGUGGGAGAGGUAGACGGUACUCGGUAGGAAGGGGUAAAAUCCUUUGAUCAAUUGAUGACCACCUGUGGCGAAGGCGGUCUACCAGAACACGUCCGACGGUGAGGGAUGAAAGCUGGGGGAGCAAACCGGAUUAGAUACCCGUGUAGUCC
rnacentral:rRNA from 1 species